UACGUAGGGUGCGAGCGUUAAUCGGAAUUACUGGGCGUAAAGCGUGCGCAGGCGGUGAUGUAAGACAGAUGUGAAAUCCCCGGGCUCAACCUGGGAACUGCAUUUGUGACUGCAUCGCUGGAGUGCGGCAGAGGGGGAUGGAAUUCCGCGUGUAGCAGUGAAAUGCGUAGAUAUGCGGAGGAACACCGAUGGCGAAGGCAAUCCCCUGGGCCUGCACUGACGCUCAUGCACGAAAGCGU
rnacentral:rRNA from 1 species